rnacentral:rRNA from 1 species
GGUGACCUACGGGACGCAGCAGUGGGGAAUAUUGGACAAUGGGGGGAACCCUGAUCCAGCGACGCCGCGUGAGUGAAGAAGUAUUUCGGUAUGUAAAGCUCUAUCAGCAGGGAAGAAAAUGACGGUACCUGACUAAGAAGCCCCGGCUAACUACGUGCCAGCAGCCGCGGUAAUACGUAGGGGGCAAGCGUUAUCCGGAUUUACUGGGUGUAAAGGGAGCGUAGACGGAUAAGCAAGUCUGAUGUGAAAGCCCGGGGCUCAACCCCGGUACUGCAUUUGAAACUGUCCAGCUGGAGUGCAGGAGG